rnacentral:misc_RNA from 1 species
AAGUCGUAACAAGGUUUCCGUAGGUGAACCUGCGGAAGGAUCAUUACCGAGAUAGGGUCCUUAGGGCCCGACCUCCAUCCCUUUGUAUACAAACCACUGUUGCCUCGGCGUCCCGUCAAACUUGUUUGCCAUCGGCUUACCUAGGCCUUUGUGCGCUCGCCGAUGGAUCUACCAAACCCUUCGAAUCAGCAGUCUGAGUGAGAAUUAAUACUUCAAAACUUUCAACAACGGAUCUCUUGGUUCUG